AUUUUUUUUUUUUUUUGGGUUCAAUAUUUAUUUGAGGACCUCCCAAUUUGAUAUUUUAACAUGUAUAAAACGGACAUUCUUUUUGUGGUUUGAAAAUUGUAGAAGAUGUUUAUGUCCAUAACAAGAUGUUCAUGUUUCUGUUGAUACCAGUGCACUACGAAUAAUUCUUCCAUGGUCAUCAGAUUGUGACAGGUUUUUCCAUAGAGGGAAUAUGUUUAGUCCAGCUUGACAAAGCCAAUAUCCUUUGCAUAUUGCCUGAAACAUUGACGGCACAUCUUCAGUCCAUAUUUGCGGAUCAAUCCAUGUCUGUUAGAGCACACGCGGCAGGAGCGGGACCCCUGUCCGAACUUCCUCGGGUGGCUCCAGUACAGCUGCUGGUGACCCAUCUCGACCGGUUGCGAGCUCUGAAAAGCAAGAC